rnacentral:rRNA from 1 species
GACGAACGCUGGCGGCGUGCUUAACACAUGCAAGUCGAACGAAGAGCGACGGAAGCUUGCUUCUAUCAAUCUUAGUGGCGAACGGGUGAGUAACGCGUAAUCAACCUGCCCUUCAGAGGGGGACAACAGUUGGAAACGACUGCUAAUACCGCAUACGAUCUAAUCUCGGCAUCGAGGAUGGAUGAAAGGUGGCCUCUACAUGUAAGCUAUCACUGAAGGAGGGGAUUGCGUCUGAUUAGCUAGUUGGAGGGGUAACGGCCCACCAAGGCGAUGGUCAGUAGCCGGUCUGAGAGGAUGAACGGCCACAUUGGGACUGAGACACGGCCCAGACUCCUACGGGAGGCAGCAGUGGGGAAUCUUCCGCAAUGGACGAAAGUCUGACGGAGCAACGCCGCGUGAGUGAUGACGGCCUUCGGGUUGUAAAGCUCUGUUAAUCGGGACGAAAGGCCUUCUUGCGAAUAGUGAGAAGGAUUGACGGUACCGGAAUAGAAAGCCACGGCUAACUACGUG